rnacentral:tRNA from 1 species
AGGAGUGUAGCUCAACUGGUAGAGCGCCGGUCUCCAAAACCGGAGGUUGCGGGUUCGAGUCCCUCCACUCCUGCCA